rnacentral:rRNA from 1 species
AGAGUCUACUAGCUCGGUCUGUACUGCGCGUCAGCUACCUGGGGUUUGUUACGUCAGAUCGUAGAAUCCCCGGGCUCAACUUGGGAACUGCAUCUGAUACUGGCAAGCUUGAGUCUCGUAGAGGGGGGUAGAAUUCCAGGUGUAGCGGUGAAAUGCGUAGAGAUCUGGAGGAAUACCGGUGGCGAAGGCGGCCCUCUGGACGAAGACUGACGCUCAGGUGCGAAAGCGUGGGGAGCAAACAGGAUUAGAUACCCUGGUAGUCCACGCCGUAAACGAUGUCUACUUGCCGGUUUGUGCCCUUUGAAGGCGUGGCUGCCGGAGCUAACGCGUUAAGUCGGACCGGCCUGGGGGAGUACGGCCCGCAAGGUCUAAAAACUCAAAAUGGAAUUGACGGGGGGCCCCGCCACAAG